CCUACGGGAGGCAGCAGUAGGGAAUAUUGCUCAAUGGGGGAAACCCUGAAGCAGCAACGCCGCGUGGAGGAUGAAGGUUUUCGGAUUGUAAACUCCUUUUGUUAGGGAAGAUAAUGACGGUAUCUAACGAAUAAGCACCGGCUAACUCCGUGCCAGCAGCCGCGGUAAUACGGAGGGUGAAAGCGUUACUCGGAAUCACUGGGCGUAAAGAGCGCGGAGGCGGGAUAGCAAGUCAGAAGUGAAAUACUAUGGCUUAACCAUAGAACUGCAUGUGAUACUGUAAUUCUAGAGUAUGAGAGAGGUAGGUGGAAUUCUUGGUGUAGGGGUAAAAUGCGUAGAGAUCAAGAGGAAUACUGAUUGCGAAGGCGACCUGCUAGAACAUAACUGACGCUGAUGCGCGAAAGCGUGGGGAGCAAACAGGAUUAGAUACCCUAGUAGUC
rnacentral:rRNA from 1 species